CAUUGCAGAGUUGCGUUUACCAUCAUGAGACGUAUAUUGUUAUUAAAGUAUUAAACAUGGAACUCUGUUUCAAUAUGCUGACCACCCAAUUUCAUAAUAUGGUGUCAAAAGUGGGAUGAAUUUCACUGCUAAUGGGAAUAGACAAAAUCAGACUUAGAAGCGUUUAUAUUCAGUGCCACUAAAUUAGUUUUUUUCAUGAACAUCGGAUUAAAACACGGAUUUCAAAAGGAACAAAUUUCAUUCACCGGAAAUCUUUGACUCUUCAUCGCCGACUGAAUGGGAAAGUUUGAGAGACCGUUUUCAUAUGUGUUAGGACAGUUACAAAAUUGCACAAAGAAGAAGAUAUCUGAAAAGAAAAUUAUUUUUUAUUUAAUUCUAUAAAAAAAACGGAAUACAUUGUUUUAAAGUUUUAGACUUUUGGCAGAUGCACAAAAGCAAUCGGAAACUGUAUAGGGAAAAUUAAACGAACAUUUAACACAGAAGAAAUACAUUAUUCAUAAAAGAAUUCCAUUCCUAAACCAAACACAAGUCGAAUCGUUCGCUUUAGGGCUGCAAGUUCAACGCAGCCUUAAAAAGAAGAAGAAAAUGCAAUAAGGAGAUUUAACCUUGGAAAAAGCCGUCUCAAUAGCGAGACAGAGCGAACUGGUCAAGAGACACGUUCGAGCAUGAUCGACUGGAUCUGCCUAAUUGGAUUAGAUUAAAGGGGCGAAAUUUAUGUCUUGUGACAUGCGUACCAUGAUUCGUCGAGAAAAUGUCCAGCUAUGUCUCGCAAAUAAGUGUGGGAAAAUAAAUUAUUUUACCGUGCGACGAUAAAAUGUGGGUAAAUAACAUGAAACAUCAAAAAUGGAUUAUAUUAGUGGAAAUAAAUAACCAAAACAUUACAUUUACACAGUACCUUUUGUUGAAACAGAUCUACUCGCCACAAAUAGGCUUAACUCGUUAUUAAUAUUUUAAAGGCCUAGUUUAAGGAGUGUUUGGCAUGAUAAUCAACCUGCUGUGCAUAUCCUGCUAAUUGCACUGGUGUCACAGUAGGGGCCAAUUUCCUGUGUAUUCGUUUAUUGGCUCAUGGCCAUUUAGGUCCACUUAUAUCUUAAAAUAUUCCAAACUGCACAGCCGGAUACUCAGAUAUGAGAUCUGAUAAGACAACAAGGCAAUUAGAUUGAGAUCAAUUAACAGAGGUUGUGAACGAAUACACGUUUUUUAGGGGGGGGGGGGGGUGUCACUUAAAGAAGGCUUAAACUAGGCCUUUAAGCGCAUGAUGUUGCCAUCGCGCAUAGCUUAAAGAUACGUUACGCAAUAUACGCCAAUCGACAGCUUGAUGGCGGUCACGUGGUAGAUACUAUUGCUCUGUAAGACGAUAAGAUUUUCUGUUCUUGACAAGCUUCGAGGAUACACCUCUGUUAGGAUUUCAUAUUUUUUUCAAGAAUAACGCAUUAACAUUUUAAACUAUCGACAACGAUUUUUAUCACUGGUAUAGAUAAUUAGCACAAUGAAAUAAACUACUGACAACUUGCAUGCUGUUUUACUUGGAGACUUUCAAAGUGAGUGUUGAUAAAUUAUUGUUAUAACAACAUUGCGACAUUAUUUUUUACUUAAACUUACUUGUGUGCAUAACGGACAGUACUCUUACGUUCGUAGCAUGAAGUUUCAUGGUAUGAUCAAUUGAUGGAGACUCCAGGUGGUUUAUACUCCUUAAACUGCCCCGAUCCCGUACUUUCACCAAGCCAAACAAGAUAACCCACCCAGAGUAUCUCCACCACUCCCUUCGACCUAGCUCUUGAAAUCCAUAAAUUCCGCAGCGAGUUCCCUUCGUCAGCAUCGACGUGAUACUUUUCAGAGCCAGCGUGUUGAUGUAAAUAUUGCUUGUGUAUCCCCAAAAAGGCAAAAUGUGUGUCGUCCAGAACGGACUGUAUUUGUUUAUUAUCACUUCUUUGGGCUAAGAAAUUUAAACGCGAUCGACGUGGGAUUACGGCAUUUUUGAACAGAAAGACCGCUGAAUGUAUGCUGUUUGCUUCAUUAAGACAUAUUAUAUAAGAACUUUACAAAACAAUUCUGUUGAAUGUCAGUCUCCCAGAUUUAUCUUUCACACGGAACACAAAGAAUGCCAAACAGACAUAGCUAGUCGUGCACACACUUAACAUUAGACAGCGCUCCAGCUCCGGACUAAAAAUCUGCAUAUCUAAAACAACAAUGCAACAAAAGACCCAGCAUAACAAAAAUUGGAAAGUGCUGGCCAAAAAUCUGGGAAGUUAAGCGAGGUCGCUCUCGUCAUUUAGAGAAAAGGCCUGAAUUCGUGUCAAUAUUAAUAUGAAAAACUACAGAAUCAAGCUCAGAAGCCGAAAGUUUAAACAUAAACACCGUUUAAAUGCACUUGGGAGAUUCAUCCCAGAAUUGAACUAUUUGCCAUAAUUUACUUGUACCUUUUCUCUUUUUUUUGACUUCAUUUAAAGCUUAAUUAAUAUAUGUGAUUUAUAUUUUCAUUUUAUAAUUCAGUUACAUUUAUAUAUAACCUUUUGUAGUGUUUUAGCUAAUGCGGAAUGGAAGGGCGGCCCGCCCUGCCCUUUUUUGACCCCGCCCCGCUGCCCCUUAUUUCCCGCCCUAUCGUUUUUUUCCCCGCCCUCUUACGCUCAUCUGGCCAUUCAGAUCGUUCUUUACCACAAAGUUGCUCCCUCAAAACAUUUUAUUGGUCAGUGUCGCCGUCUCCUAAUCCGUCACAGAUCAGCACGUGAUAAGGCAUACGACCAUCAUCACCGCGGGUCGGAUUAACGGUAAUUCACGCUUAUCAGGGUGCUAAUUGCUGUUCAUUAUGACACAUUAUUCGUGGGCCCCGUUGUCUGUGACAUGAAAGUUGUACCCCUUAAUGUCCAUCUUUGAUGCGGAUGUUGUUACAAACUAAUUAAUUGACGCACAUGUCAUAUUUUGGUGUCGUAGACCUUUUUUAUCAGGUGAAAAAAAGAAAGAAAAAAUCUUAAUCAUAUCAUAGUUUCACUUCAUUCAUGUUCGUCUGUAUGUGAAAAUGCCGUCUAAAAAACGAAAAUUCUUUGAUCUUGAAAAGGAACGUGCUAAGAUAAAAAGGACUAAUCAUACUUUAGCCAAAUAUGUGCUUAAAGUCGACAGGUAGAAUUUUUCGUUAUAUUCUUAAGUAAAGUGUGUUUUUGUUUCGUUUGUUUAUUUACGUUAAUAUUACUUGAAUGUGUAUAUACGGUUUUGUAUACGAGGAAUACACAAUUCCAUUAUUAACAUACGACAAAUUGUUACGUAAAAAUAAAUAACGAAUGUCAGGUAUAUCCAAAAAGACUUGAUACGCGAAACAUUUUAUUAUUAGGUCAAAUACACAUGCAAAGUUAUUUAAAAAUCGCUUAUUCCACAAAGUUACAGACCGAACACGAGGAAUCCGGGCGAACUUGUACGCACAAAUAUUUUUCUUGUCUUUUGGCAAAGCACGUCCAUCAAAAGUGCGCGCCAAUGUUAACAUAAAUCUAGAAUUCCAUUUAAUAAUUAACCAAAGGUUAAUACAUGUACCAACCGGUUCCAAUUACAACCAUUUACAUUUAGGUUUUAUUUAAUGAUUAGUAAGAUAUCGCAUUAAGGACGUAUUUGUUACGCCGUUCAAUUUAACUUCCGGGCCGAACGUGUCCCAUCUUCCGAGAAUUCCGAGUAUUUUCAACGUGCCUAGAAUACUUUGAAUGUAAUUGUAACAUUUGUUUUCACAGUUGGAGCAUAAAAAUGAAGCUGUUCGUGAUACUGUCGUCGUAGCUUAUUAUGUUCAAAGUGUUACAAGUUGAGAUUUUCAUACCCGAUAUAUAGUAUCGCAAAGAGACAAUUGUCAAUAUGAGGUUAUCAAUAGCAGGACACCGAGGUUAUUUGUUAAAACAGACCUACCCGUCACAUAUAUGUUUGAAAGUUUUUUAAGAGUAUGUUUUUGUCAUUUGUAAUAGCUUAAAGAUAAUUUAUGAAAUAUAAGCUAUUGCACAGCUUUAUGGCGUUCACGCGGUAGAUACUGUUUGUCUGUAAGAAACAAAGGGUAUGAUUAUAAGAUUUUCUGUUUUUGAUAAGCGUCGAGGAUACACCCCAGUAAAGCUUUCCUGAGAAGUUGUUACUACUGCAAUUGAAUAUUAUCACAAUCAAAUACAAUAUUUUCGACAUUUGUUCAGUUUUACUUGGAGACUUUCUAAGUGAGUGUUGGACAAAUUAAAGUUAUAACAAUAUUGCGUUAUAUUCGACUGAAACUUUGUACUACACCCGUGUAUUCCGACAUUACUCAUAGAACUGUAUCACGUUUCAUCGAUAUGCUUCAACGGCAUUUAUUUUUAAUAAUGUACUUGUCGCUUUCUUAUUCUUGCAUUUUUUUUGUUUAGAAACAUUGUAUGAUUGGCAAUAUUCUCAUUCAUCUUGAGUUUAAUUUAACGUACAAUUUUACUGAGCUUAGGAGUAAAGUAACAUAUUCAUAUUUUCUAUGUCCUUAUAUGGCUUUGACGAAUGACUUGUGUGUUACAAUACUAUAAAACGUGUUAAACAUAUAUAUGACGUUAACUGCUAUUAACAAAAUAGAAAUUCAA